rnacentral:rRNA from 1 species
AGUGAACGCNGGCGGCGUGCCUAAUACAUGCAAGUCGAACGGACAAGUAAGAGCUUGCUCUUAUGAGUUAGUGGCGCACGGGUGAGUAAUGUAUAGCUAAUCUGCCCUACACUAGAGGACAACAGUUGGAAACGGCUGCUAAUACUCUAUACACCUCUCUAGCAUAAGUUAGAUAGGGAAAGUUUUUCGGUGUAGGAUGAGGCUAUAUUGUAUCAGCUAGUUGGUGAGGUAAUGGCUCACCAAGGCUAUGACGCAUAACUGGUCUGAGAGGAUGAUCAGUCACACUGGAACUGAGACACGGUCCAGACUCCUACGGGAGGCAGCAGUAGGGAAUAUUGCUCAAUGGGGGAAACCCUGAAGCAGCAACGCCGCGUGGAGGAUGACACUUUUCGGAGCGUAAACUCCUUUUGUUAGGGAAGAAUAA